AGAAUCAACGCUGGCGGCGCGCCUAACACAUGCAAGUCGAACGAGAAAGUGGAGCAAUCCAUGAGUACAGUGGCGUACGGGUGAGUAACACGUGGGUAAUCUACCUUUUUAGUGAGGAAUAACCGAGGGAACUUCGGCUAAUACCGCAUAAGCCUGAGAAGGGAAAGCAGAAAUGCGCUGAAAGAGGAGCCCGCGGCCGAUUAGCUAGUUGGUGAGGUAAGAGCCCACCAAGGCAGAGAUCGGUA
rnacentral:rRNA from 1 species